AUGUGUGAUCACAUUUCUAGCAGUGCAGCCUGACAGAUGCAUUUCCCACUCUCUGCCGUUUGAUCCUGUACCUUAAGUAGGAAUAACAAAUUGAUUGCCAAUUUGAAGUCCAAUAAAAGCAAACAAAACAAGUGGAAAGGUGCCAAAAUAAGAAACGGAAAUCCAUUAGAGUAACUGAGACGGGAAAAGCCGUCAUUAUUGUAACCUCGUCACCUUCUACACCUGAAAGGAGAGCAAGCAUUGCAGGUGAAGUGGACAUGAAAGCACCGUACGGAGCGCGAGGCCGGAUUCAGCGCCGCACAACAGAAAGCGCUCAGUUACAGUUCAGGGCCCAGAUGGAAGCUCCAGACUGCUGGUCAGACAGGCCGCAGAGGCCGAGGCUGACUGGAGGACUGGGUGUCGAUAAAAAGCCCCGGUGACUGACAGACCCGAGCCCUGGGUGACGGCACGCGACCAAUCGCACGCUGCCCUGCGAGACUCGCAGGCCGCAGAGCGGACCAGAAUGCAUCACUGUGGCAGAUCCUGGCGCUCUGGCGCGAGGAAGGGGGAGGGGCUCCUCCCGGGAGACGCUAUUGGCUGAAUUUACGGCCUUCAGACUUUGAAGGGGCAAUAAGUGUGCAGUAUUAUAGCUGUCUGUCCAUGCAUAGGAACCACUAUUUAUACUUUUCAGUUACACAGUAAUUUGGCUCAUGUGCUGCACAGUUGGGAUGUUCUUUUUUAACUGUGUAUUGAUCUCUGUCUGAGAUUUUUAUCUGUUGACGCGAAGCGGGCAGUCCCACAUAAGCCUCUCCCGGGCGUGCCCCGCGAAUACUGCCACUGCUGCAUGUGUAACAGCCAGCUAUAGAUCACACACGUGUGCAGAACGUACACGCUUGUGCGAGGAAUUUAUACUAUAGAUCACACACGUGUGCAGAACAUACACGCUUGUGCGAGGAAUUUAUACUAUAGAUCACACACGUGUGCAGAACAUACACGCUUGUGCGAGGAAUUUAUACUAUAGAUCACACACGUGUGCAGAACAUACACGCUUGUGCGAGGAAUUUAUACUAUAGAUCCUAUGUGCAGAAUGUACCGUUGAACAAGGCAUUUACUCCCAACAACCAUCAUAGAGUAAAAAAAUCAAAGAAGAGUAGGAGCAAAAUUAACUGUACAAAGGCGUUUUGCACAAUACAGACAGACUGCAUAGUACACAACAGUGGUGAUGAUGUGGUGGUGAUGCUAGUGAUGAUGGUGAUGAUAGGGAUGAUGAUGAAGAUGAUGAUGAUUAUGUUGAUGGUGAUGAUAGUGAUGAUGAGGAUGAUGAUGAUGAUGAUUAUGUUGAUGGUGAUGAUAGUGAUGAUGAGGAUGAUGAUGAUGAUGAUUAUGUUGAUGGUGAUGAUAGUGAUGAUGAGGAUGGUGAUGGUAGUGGUGGUGAUGAUAGGGAUGAUAGUGGUGGUGGUGGUGAUGAUAGUGAUGAUGAUGAGGAUGAUGGUGGUGGUGGUGAUGAUAGGGAUGAUGAUGAUGAUAGUGGUGGUGGUGGUGAUGAUAGGGAUGAUGAUGAGGAUGAUGGUGAUGAUAGGAUGAGGAUGAGGAUGAUGAUGAUGGUGGUGAUGAUGAUGAUGAGGAUGAUGAUGAUGCGGUGGUGAUGAUAGUGAUGAUGAUGAUGAAUGCUGUUGGUGGUGAUGAUGGUGAAGAUGAUGAUAGUGAAGAUGAUGACAAUGAUAGCGAUGAUGAUGAUGAUGGUGGUGGCUGAUUUCCUCUCCCCUCCCCUGGUCUCCUCCUGUUGUGGAGCUUUGUUUAAGGGGCUCCAUGUUGAGCUGAACCAGGCAGAAUCUAACCCGUCAUCAGAGCAAGCCUUCAUCAUUCCUCGGACUCAGAGGAAACACCCAAGCGAUUUCAGACUCUCUUCUUCCGCAAGAAAGGGGGGUGCGUUGGGGAGGGAAAAAACUGUUACGUUUAAUAAUUGAUGUGCUGCUUUUCAAUCAAUUUUACCACUGCGCGAGGCUAAUUAAGGGUUCCAUUUGAUUCCCGGGGGUAAUUUAGUGUCUGAACACAGAAAAAAAAAGUUUAUUCCCUUUUUUCUCUCUCAGUUCUGGGGAAUUGUCUAUUUGAGGAAUCAGUGAUGGCAGAGCUUUCUGUCCCCCCCCCCCAAUCCCCCACCCCUUCGUCUCCUGAGGCAAAGAUCAGUGCAAUUAAUACAGCAGCUUUACUGGCUGCUAAUUAUUAAAUGACUAAAAAGAGAUUAUUUUACACCAGACUAAUUUAAAGUUCAUAGAUGAUUGUUUUAAUUAAUUAAAUAAGAAAGCACACUUUAAACAGGACUAAUGGCAUUUGCAUACAAAGGUAACGAUUAGACAC